rnacentral:rRNA from 1 species
CCUACGUGAGGCAGCAGUGAGGAAUAUUGGACAAUGGGCGCGAGCCUGAACCAGCUAAGUAGCGUGAAGGAUGACUGCCCUACGGGUUGUAAACUUCUUUUAUAAAGGAAUAAAGUGAGGCACGUGUGCCUUUUUGUAUGUACUUUAUGAAUAAGGAUCGGCUAACUCCGUGCCAGCAGCCGCGGUAAUACGGAGGGUCCGAGCGUUAUCCGGAUUUAUUGGGUUUAAAGGGAGCGUAGAUGGGUUGUUAAGUCAGUUGUGAAAGUUUGCGGCUCAACCGUAAAAUUGCAAUUGAUACUGGCAGUCUUGAGUACAGUUGAGGUAGGCGGAAUUCGUGGUGUAGCGGUGAAAUGCUUAGAUAUCACGAAGAACUCCGAUUGCGAAGGCAGCUUACUAAACUGCCACUGACAUUGAUGCUCGAAAGUGUGGGUAUCAAACAGGAUUAGAUACCCUAGUAGUC